rnacentral:lncRNA from 1 species
UUUGGACUUUGGUUUAAUUUUACUACCUUAACCUUUUGGCCGUGUUUCCAUUAUAAUUCUAUCCUUUUUUCUUCUUUUUACAUGGUUGAUUUAGAUGAUGCACAUAUAGCUUUGGUAUUGUAUUUUCUGAUAAAGAAUUAGCACCUGUUCUUCCAUCACCCUUUUGUUUAUCUCAGGCUCAGCGAGACUGAGAUAUGGACACCAUGCACCACCAAACCCAAGUUCAAGUAUAGUUUUCUGCAAUAUUCAUUUAAGAUAAACAUUUUAAUCUGAACAAGAAUAUUAUAUUAUUAUUAAAACAAAAUUUUCUAAUUAAUCAGCCC